rnacentral:rRNA from 1 species
UACGAAGGCCCCAAGCGUUAUCCGGAAUUACUGGGCGUAAAGCGUCUGUAGGUGGUCUAGCCAGUCUCGCGUGAAACUUCGGAGCUCAACUCCGAAUUGCGCGGGAAACUACUAGACUUGAGUGUGGGAGAGGCAAGCAGAACUGUAUGAGUAGGGGUGCAAUCCGUUGAUACAUACAAGAAUACCAAAAGCGAAGGCAGCUUGCUGGAACACAACUGACACUGAGAGACGAAAGCGUGGGGAGCAAAAGGG